UACGGUAAUAUCUCAUUGAAAGACUGGUUCCCAUACGAUCACCGAAGUUAAGCAACGUCGGGCCUUGUCAAUACCUAUUUGCGUAACCGCUUGGGUAUACCAAGUGCU